AUCCGUUGGUGGCAAGCGUUAUCCGGAAUUAUUGGGCGUAAAGAGUGAGCAGGCGGUUAAUUAAGUCUGAGGUUAAAGCGUGGGGCUCAACCCCCUAAAGCCUUGGAAACUGAUUGACUAGAAUACGGGAGAAGUGAAGGGAACUCCCUGUGUAGGGGUGAAAUGCGUAGAUAUAUGGAAGAACACCAGUGGCGAAGGCGCUUCACUAGCCCGAAACUGACGCUCGGUCACGAAAGCGUGGGUAGCAAAUAGGAUUAGAUACCCUAGUAGUCCGCGCUGUAAACGAUGACAACUAAAUAUUGCCGCGAGGCAGUGUUGAAGCUAACGCAUUAAGUUGUCCGCCUGGGGAGUACGUUCGCAAGAAUGAAACUUAAAGGAAUUGACGGGG
rnacentral:rRNA from 1 species